AGGGGCUUGCGGAGGACGGGCAGGGCGGCGCGGCGGCGGCAGCGGCUGCCUCGCUGCUCUACCCGCCUGGCUGCGCGCCGCCCUGCUGCUGCGUGUGGCUUGUGGCGGAUGACGCGGACUCUGCAGACGCAUGGGCGGAUGCAUUGCUGCUGGCGCACCACGUCGCAGUUAGUAGGUGAGAGCACGCAAAUUGGGUAUUGAGCCCUUGUCGGCGACGGUCCUUUAGUUCUUGCGAGUACGGUAGUUGACACUUGACAAUGCCCGCCCCCCCCCGCCUGCCCCCAUCCCUUAUGCAGAUCGCCUUACGCCCUGUCAGAAGCUCUCACGCCGGCAGCCACAGCUAACGGCGCUGCGGGUGUCCCGCCCCGCACGGCGCGGGUGAGCGGUGGCGGCGACUUGCCUGGGCUGGGACGGGCCGGAUAACUUGUGCGCGCGCGUGUUCAUGCACUGCAAUUGCUGCCGCGUUGCAGCAGUCGUGCAUCCACGGUACUGUGUGCGGCGUGGAGGCGAUGGAACUGCUGGUUGACAGUGAUGUCGGGAGUCGAUGAAACUGCUGGUUAGCAGUGACGUCGGGCGGAGCACAAGGGUUACUGGUGGCAAAGCAUAGGGUACGGUAGUUGACAAGGUGGGUGCCACCGUGAGGCCGUGUUUUGGGCCAGGCUGCGAGCUAUGAUUCCAGCUUAGGUCUAGGCAGAUGCGAGUAGUAUGACGGAGUACCCAUGACAAUUGACAAGUAACAGGGGCAGUGGAGUUGGAAGCAAGCUGCACACUGCUGGCACACGUUGGGACGGGGAGUCGCGCACGCAUGUCUGUGGUGGAGUCCCUCCACCCAGUCCGGUCUCCCACACGGCGUAGGGGUCUCAACCCACCGUCUUCCUACGCCCCAAGGGUGGGACUUAAGCCCCCUGUCCGCCACAAAGGCGGGUUAUCACGCUCAUCAAGAUUGCGCACAUAUGUAACGGAGCGGUUUCGACUUUGCCCAGCUUAUUGACGUGACAGGCAAUGCCCAAC
rnacentral:lncRNA from 1 species